rnacentral:rRNA from 1 species
UGAAACCGUUUAGGGGUAAACCUGAGAAACCCGAAAGGUCGAAGGGAGAAAUUCAUUCGCGUUUCGUGGAUGACGUCUAGUGGUUUUUUUGCGGCGAAAGCGUGCUUGCACGUUUUUUGCGCGUUCCAUUUGACGAGUCGACUGCGAACGCGUGCACUUUUCUCCUGGUAGGACGUCGCGAUCCGUCGGGUGUCGAUUUAAGGUCCGUGGUGGAGACCGUUGGCAGCGUUUCGGCGCUCGUUGACGGACCCGCGUGAUCCGAUCGACUCGCUCAACGGUAUACGAAUGGUUAGGGGCCGCUUUUAUUUAAGCGUUCGACCAUUGGCAAGCGCGCCGUUUUCGUUGGCGAUCGGACCUGGUGCCGAUUCUGACUUCCGGUGACUGUUGGCCAAUGAGUUCUCGAACAGACCUCAUUUUUUAAUAACCGAUCUGCGACGCUAUAGCUUUGGGUAAUUUCAGGACCCGUCUUGAAACACGGACCAAGGAGUCUAGCAUGUACGCGAGUCAUUGGGAAUCGAUAAACCUAAAGGCGAAAUGAAAGUAAAGAUCUUUCUUGCAAAGAUCGAGGGAAGAGAUGCGGAUUUUUAUGGUGUUAAAAAGCUGUAGAAACCGUUUCGCAUUCCCGGGGCGUCUCGUUCUCAUUGCGAGAUGAGGCGCACCAAGAGCGUACACGCUGGGACCCGAAAGAUGGUGAACUAUGCCUGGUCAGGACGAA